AUGGACAGCAGUGGUGUCUCAGAGCAGGAGGAUUUGGUGCUGUUCCAUUACCACACAGGCCAGAGUGAUGAUUCUGAUAUUUGGGAUAAUACAGCAUUGAUAAAAGCUUAUGAUAAAGCUGCGGCUUCAUUUAAACAUGCUCUAAAGAAUGGUGACAUUUAUGAGUGAAACUUCAGAUAAGUCAAAAAACACACCUUUAAAAAAAACCUGCUAAGAAUAAAAGCCAAAAAAGGAAUACUGCAGCUCCCUUGAAACAGUGGAAAGUUGGUGACAGAUGUUCUGCCAUUUGGUCAGAAGACAGCUGCAUUUACCCAUACCAUUGCUUCAGUUGACUUUAAGAGAGAAACCUGUGUUAUGGUUUAUACUGGAUAUGGAAAUAGGGAGGACCAAAACCUGUCUGAUCUACUUUCCCCAACCUCUGGAGUAACUAAUAACAUCGAACAGAAUGCUCAAGAAAAUGAAAAUGAAAGUCAAGUUUCAACAGAUAAAAGUGAGAACGCCAAGUCUCCUGGAAAUAAGCCAGAUAACAUCAAGUCAAAAACUAUUCCAUGGAACUCUUUUCUCCCUCCACCACCCCCCAUGCCUGGGUUAGGCCUGGGACCAGGAAAGCCAGGUCUAAAAUUCAAUGGCCCACCACCAUCACCACCUCUCUUCCUGUCAUGCUGGCUGCCUCUAUCUCCUUCUGAACCACCAAUAAUUCCCCCACCACCUCCCAUAUGUCCAGAUUGUCUUGAUGAUGCUGAUGCUUUGGGAAGUAAUUUAAUCUCUUGGUGCAUGAGCAGCUAUCAUACUGGCUAUUAUAUAGGUUUCAGACAAAGUCAAAAAGAAGGAAGGUGCUCACAUUCCAGUUAA